CUCCAGUGUGUGGUCGGUCAUGCUGUUGCCAGGAGGGAGGUACGAGCAGAGAUUGAAGUUCCUUAAAGCAAUGUAUUGUAGAACAUGGAAAGCCGGGAACUGAAGCUUGUGCUCCUUAGAUGCAACGUGACUCAACGAUGUAUCUUCUGAACUGAGGUACUUUUAAGAGUGAAUGGGUGGUUCAACAGACAGGAUACUGGGAACAAAAUAAUAAAGUAGGACUCUCAGAAGCAAAGCAGACAUGAUCAACUCUGUUCUGUAAGCAUAAGAAGCUUGGACAUAAUUUUGGAAGUUUACCACGAUAAAAAGUUUAGACUUAAUUUUGAAAGCAGUGUUUUCUGUAAUGCAUACUUGAAAACUGUUUUAAGUGUUUCUAUUGCUGUGAUAAAGCACUAUUACCAAAAGCAGGUUGGCAAAGAAAGGGUUUAAUUUAUCUCAUAACUUUUACUCUAUAAUCCAGGGAGGUCAGGGCAGGGAUUCAAGGCAGGAACUUGGAGGCAGAAACUGAAGCAGAGACCAUGGAGUGAUGCUGUGUCCUGGCUUUCUCCUCAUGGCUUUCUCAUCCUGCAUCUUAAUACAAUCUAGUAGCACCAGUCCGUGUGGGGCAGUACACACAGUGAGCUCUUCCUUCCCCAGGCCAAUCACUGACCAAGGAAAUGCGCCCCCAGGCUUGCCCUCAAUCCAGUCUGAUGGGGGCACUUUCUCAACUGAUGUUUCUUUUGCCCAAACUACUGUAGCUUUAUCUAAAAAUGACAUAAAGCUAGCCAGCGUAAAUGUUUCUCAAAUAUUAAAUGCAAAAGUGUUGAUAAUGGAAUGUUUUCAGAAACGUUGGAUCAAACAAAGCCACACCUGCUUCUUUACUGAGCCACUUUUCAUGGUCUCUGAUUUAUGAAUAUGCAAUGUGCCCUUUCAUCUUCAAAAUGUCAUGUGUUGCUCAAGCAUUUCUCUGUAGACCAAUUCCCAGCUUCCUUCACCUAAAGUUCCACCCUCUCACUGCUGAGCAUUUCCAUCUUGAAGUAGCUUACUUUGGGGUUUAGGAAAUCGACGAUCAUGGAGGGCUGGUUUCAGGGUCAGGUUUCCAGCAUGUGAGUAUGUGCUGUGGUGACAAGAAAAUGGAACAGAACUGAAUUGGUCACCUUCAUUGCUACCGAAGUAGACAGGGAACAGACAAUGAGGGACAAAAAGAAAAAGAAUUGUGGAAACUGUUUGAAAACUAAUGAUAAAAAAAAUGGGUGGUUUGCUGUGUCUCCUAAGAUUUCUGUGUUAUAGAUGGGAGUUCCCAGUUCAGACAAGUCAUGGCUAAUGUCAACUAUCAACUUAUCGAAAUUUAGAAUCACCUUGUAAUAGGCCUUUGAGCAUGCCUGUGGGAGAUUGUCUUGGUUUGAUUAACUGAGGUGGGAAGACCUGUCCACUGUGGGUAACACCAUUCCCUAAGCAGAAAUCCUGGACUAGAGAGGAGAAAGUGAGGAGGGCACAGACAUUUGUCAGUCCCUACCACUUGACUGUAAACUAAUGGUUGUCUUGUGUUCUUGAUGGUGCUAUUUCCUUGUCAUGAUAGUUUGUAACUCAAAAGUGUGGGUCAAAACAAAUUGCUUUUGCCAGAGUAUUCAUAGAGCCAAGGAAAAGUAAUUAAGACAAUAUGCUAAUCUUGCUUGAAAGAGACCUUAGGAGUUACCUGUGAUUAGGAAAGAUCAAAAGGGCAUUAGCAGCUUUGUAUGAAGAUUGCUGUCUUGACGAGCGCUUCUUUAAUCCUCAAAAUGUCAUAUGUUUUAUAUUAAGUAUAAAAAUAGUCAUAGUGAAAUACAUUCAGAAACGUUGGAUCAAAUAAAGGCAGGCUCAUUUCUUUACUGAGCCAUUAAAUAGAUGCUAAGUAAUAAAAUGUAGUACCACAAUUUUCAGGAAUUCCUUUGGGAUCCAUUUGCUCUCUGAGCCUCUAAGCUUAGCAGAGUAUUAUACUUAAUUUUUCUCUUUGAAGUAAAAUGACUAGGAAAGAAUCCAAUUAUUAUGGUUUAAAAAAAUGGCAACUUGGGGCAAGCUCAAAAUUUGGAAUUCCCAGCUUUUGUCCCUGUAUAGCCAGUGACUAGUAGGGCAACUCAGAGGUCUUUGAGUCUCAGUGUCCUCUCUAUGGACCUGUAUUGUAUCCUUCCUUCUACCCAGUCCAGGAUUCUAGCAAAAGUAAUAGGGAAGGGCGGAUGGAAAGCAUGUUAGAUAUCAGUUCCAUUUCACAAAUCCUCUCUUUGGCUCUCCAUACCCAGUUGUUGUACAAGUCUUCUUGAAUAUUUGUCACCUUAACCUCACCUCUUCUCUGUCUUAUUUACUUUAGUGCAGCCCUUCAACAUCUCCAGUCUUGAUGAAGUUCUUUAGCGAGGUCCGCUACUGUUGCAUGGUGGGCGUGGUAUUGUUACAUGGUGGGCGUGGUAUUGUUACAUUAUGGGCGUGGUAUUGUUACAUUAUGGGCGUGGUAUUGUUACAUUUUUGGCAUGCUACUGUUACAUUUUAAGCAUACUAUUGUUACAUUAUAAGCAUACUAUUGUUACAUGAUUGCCUUUCUUCUCUGUAGUAUUUCCCUUUAAUUUUCCUUACUUCUCCCAGACUUUCCUUUGUGGCAGGAAGUGAACAGCACUUCUUACCUUUCAUCAAAAUCUUGUAGUAGCUCAACCCCCACCACUCACUUAACGUGAGACAGGAGCAAUUUGCUUUAAGGAUCUCGUUUGCAUUCCUAGCAUCUUGACUUUUUAAAAAAUAUGUAUUUAUUAUAUAUAAGUACACUGUAUCUGUCUUCAGACACUCCAGAACAUCAGAUCUCAUUAUAGAUGGUCUUCAGCCACCAUGUGGUUGCUGGGAUUUGAACUCGGGUCCUCUGGAAGUCAAUGCUCUUAACCACUGAGCCAUCUCUCCAGCCCUUGUCUUUUGAGUCCAUGCACGAUGCUUCAUCCGAAUAAAGUAAACAUUUACACGUAUUAUACACACUAAAGUCAACAUGCCCACUCCUUCCUUGGCAGAAAGGUCCCUUUCCAUGUUGUCUUCCAAUAAAACUUUAUAUAACUUUCCAAAAUUUUUGUUCCUGUUUUCACUUCAAAAUUUAUUGCUGGCACUACAGUAAGGCACUCAUCUUUUGCGUUAGCGCCGUGCUCUGUAUAAAUCUCAUCACAGUGUGUGCUCUCCCGGAAAGAGCACCACUGCCAGCUAGGAAACCACCGGACUCUACUCAACCAUGAAGUCUGUACUACAAGGCCUAAUAGUCGCUGCAUUACAGACUCUUAGCAGUUAGCAGCUGUCUGGAUUCGGUGGCACGAAGGACUUCAGAGUUUUGGGCAGGACACUCAAGC
ensembl:lncRNA